rnacentral:antisense_RNA from 1 species
CUUUAUGGCGGCUGUGCGUGGGAGGCCUUGUGCCUGCCGAGUCGCUUCUUCUCGGAUUCCAACCUGCGUACAGCUGCCACCCUC